rnacentral:rRNA from 1 species
AAACCAGCACCUCAAGUGGUCAGGAGGAUUAUUGGGCCUAAAGCAUCCGUAGCCUGUUCUGUAAGUUUUCGGUUAAAUCCACUAGCUCAGCUAGUGGGCUGCCGAAAAUACUGUAGAACUAGGGAGUGGGAGAGGUAGACGGUAUUCGGUAGGAAGGGGUAAAAUCCUUUGAUCUAUUGAGGACCACCUGUGGCGAAGGCGGUCUACCAGAACACGUUCGACGGUGAGGGAUGAAAGCUGGGGGAGCAAACCGGAUUAGAAACCCGUGUAGUCC